GAUGUUUUCAAAAACAGGAAAGGGCUGCCUCGCUUUUUCUUCUUAUAAAAACAAAAAAAACAACAACACCCAACCAUCUGCUCAAGUCACCCGAGUGAUCACUUUCUUUUCUAUGUACAGAAGCUGGAUAGGCUCACAAUGGUGGCUGCUAACUUCUCAUGAAAGGCAGCAGUGCCAAACCAUCCGCUGGGCUUGUUAAUGGUCCUUUUUUUUGCUGCAUGGAUGGGGGGGGGAGAGAAAGGCUACUAAUGGGUCCCCCUCCCCCCCUUUUUUUUCUUCUCCUCCCUCUGCAGCAGCUGCAGCAAGAUCAGUGGCAGCCACCCUGGAACAGGGAUGCAGAAGAAAAGGGUGGGAACUGCUACGACAUUUGGCAGCUCCACAGAAGAGAUGCGUGCCUGACGUGAAUCCUGAUCAGCUCAAGAAUUUCAGCCGAAGAAAUAAGAAGCUGAAGGAGAAAUGGAAAAAUAAGAAAAGAGGGCAGAGUCAAGGGACUAAUAGCCAAAUUUGGAAAAACAGAGAGUCCUUCAAGAUGUCUUUUAAAGAGAGAGAGAGAGAGAGAGAGAGAGAGAGAGAGAGAGAGAGAGAGAGAUAAAAAUUGAUAUAUCACUGAUAGUGUCAUCAACACCAUCAUCAUCUCCUUCAGGAACUGGAAGCCUGAAUUUUGGAACAAGUGGCCAAGCCUCUUGAAGACCCAGUGUGUUGUGAAAAUUCCUCAGCCUUGAUAACGAAAGCAGCUGGAAACCAUAUCUGGAUAAUAGCCUUGUCUGGGCCCAGGAACUUUGAUUCCAACCUUGAUAGCUCCUCACCUCACAACUUUAGACCUGUCAGUUUUGUGGGGAAGCCGAGAAAAGAAUGGAAGGAAGAAGACCAGAGUGAAGAAGAUAUGAGGAACUUAUCUAUUGGGGGCUCUAAGACAUAAUCAAAGAAUCUGAAUACUCAUCACUGUAAGGCUGACUUCGGUGUCUUUUCCAUGCUUUGCUUAAGAGCAUUGUGAGAAAAGAUGAAGGGCAUCAUGGUCACAUAACUUGAAAUUAAUCCAUUAAACUUAUUCCACAAAGGACUGGUAGUUUUUGAAGACUGACUAAUUGACACCUUUUUUCUAUCUCUAAAACAAAAACUUGACUCCAAAUGCAAUUUUUAUUUGGACCAUGAAUAAAAAUACCAGUUCUCUCCUGAAAUAAGUAUAGAGUGAGCAUUUCUGUGUAAUAUAAAGCAAUCCAAUAGAAAAGAACAUAUGUAUUAACUGUUGAAUUGUGGAGUCCUUGCUGUUAACUUUAGUUUUCUUGUUCAAUUGCACUUUUGUUUUUCUGUUCUUUUAUGUAUUUAACAGAAUAGCAGAAUUGGAAGGGACAUUGGAGGUCUUCUAGUCCAACCCUCUGCUCAGGCAGGAAACCCUAUACUACUUCAGACAAAUGGAUGUCCAAUCUCUUCCUAAAAAAACUCCACUGGUUAAUGGUUCUGACUGUCAGGAAACUUCUCUUUAGUUCUAGGUUGGUUCUUUCCUUGAUCCAUUGCUUCUUGUCCUGCCUCUUGGUGCUUUGGAAAAUAAGUUGACCCCCUCUUCUUUGUGGCAACCUCUUAUUGGAACACUGCUAUCAUGUCACCCCUGGCUCUUCUUUUCAUGAAACUCUUUUGCUUUGUCUUUUAUUAUAUGAAAAUUCUUAAUAAAUAUGAACAUACAAAAAGAAAUUGAGAAGUAAAGGACAUACAAAGUUGAGAUGGAAGAAGAAAGGCGAAUAGUU